ACGAACGCUGGCGGCAUGCCUAACACAUGCAAGUCGAACGAACCCUUCGGGGUUAGUGGCGCACGGGUGCGUAACGCGUGGGAAUCUGCCCUUCGGUUCGGAAUAACUCAGGGAAACUUGAGCUAAUACCGGAUAAUGACGCAAGUCCAAAGAUUUAUCGCCGAAGGAUGAGCCCGCGUAGGAUUAGCUUGUUGGUGAGGUAAAAGCUCACCAAGGCGACGAUCCUUAGCUGGUCUGAGAGGAUGAUCAGCCACACUGGGACUGAGACACGGCCCAGACUCCUACGGGAGGCAGCAGUGGGGAAUAUUGGACAAUGGGCGAAAGCCUGAUCCAGCAAUGCCGCGUGAGUGAUGAAGGCCUUAGGGUUGUAAAGCUCUUUUACCCGGGAUGAUAAUGACAGUACCGGGAGAAUAAGCUCCGGCUAACUCCGUGCCAGCCGCCGCGGUAAUU
rnacentral:rRNA from 1 species